rnacentral:rRNA from 1 species
CCUACGGGUGGCAGCAGUGAGGAAUAUUGGUCAAUGGACGAGAGUCUGAACCAGCCAAGUAGCGUGAAGGAUGACUGUCCUAUGGGUUGUAAACCUCUUUUAUAUGGGAAUAAAAUGUUCCACGUGUGGGAUUUUGUAUGUACCUUAUGAAUAAGGAUCGGCUAACUCCGUGCCAGCAGCCGCGGUAAUACGGAGGAUCCGAGCGUUAUCCGGAUUUAUUGGGUUUAAAGGGUGCGUAGGUGGAGUGUUAAGUCAGUUGUGAAAGUUUGUGGCUCAACCGUAGAAUUGCAGUUGAAACUGGGGGUCUUGAGUACGUUAGAGGUAGGCGGAAUGCGUGGUGUAGCGGUGAAAUGCUUAGAUAUCACGAAGAACUCCGAUUGCGAAGGCAGCUUACUGGGCUACAACUGACGCUGAUGCACGAAAGUGUGGGGAUCAAACAGGAUUAGAUACCCGAGUAGUC